rnacentral:rRNA from 1 species
UACGAAGGGUGCAAGCGUUACUCGGAAUUACUGGGCGUAAAGCGUGCGUAGGUGGUUUUUUAAGUCCGUUGUGAAAGCCCUGGGCUCAACCUGGGAAUGGCAGUGGAUACUGGAAAGCUAGAGUGCGGUAGAGGGUAGUGGAAUUCCCGGUGUAGCAGUGAAAUGCGUAGAGAUCGGGAGGAACACCAGUGGCGAAGGCGGCUACCUGGACCAGCACUGACACUGAGGCACGAAAGCGUGGGGAGCAAACGGG